rnacentral:sRNA from 1 species
UAUGUCUAACCAGGCUAUGCUCAGCCUGCCAGAGUAGGUCUUGAGUCGUCAUACUGCACAAGACCCAAACCCUUCAUAUAAGUUUCCGGCCAUUUAGUAUUAGAGUGUGGGAUUCCAACCUAAAACCAAUUGGCAAUAGGUGGAGAAGUCCAUAUCUUAUAUAUACCACUUAAGAUCCUACUCAACUUCCGAUGUGGGACAUUGUCCCUAAUACGCCCCCUCGAGAUGAUGGCUCUUCUAGCCAUUGAUUUCGAUAUGUUUGGGCAUGGAUCGGCGGGCCAAGUAUUGGGCCGGACCGAUGUGGAUCGGGUUGAGUAUGUGCGGAUCGGGCUUUGAUACCAUAUUAGAGUGUGGGCUUCCAACCUAAAACCAAUUGGCAAUAGGUGGAGAGGCCCAUAUCUUAUAUAUACCACUUAAGAUCCUACGCAACUUCCGAUGUGGGACAUUGUCCCUAAUAUUUAGUGGCAUGACAUGCGGGUUGUGU